GGGAAACAAGAGUGACACUCCAUUUCAAAAAACAAAACCAAACAAAGAACUUGAUAAAACAAUGACUCUGCCCAAAUUUUUUUUUGAUGGAGUCUCACUCUGUCACCCACGCUGGAGUGUAGUGGUGCAAUCUCAGCUCACUGCAGCCUCCACCUCCUGGGUUCAAGUGAUUCUCCCACCUCAGCCUCCCAAGUUCAAGUGAUUCUCCUGCCUCAGCCUCCCAAGUUCAAGUGAUUCUCCUGCCUCAGCCUCCCGAGUAGCUGGAAUUACAAACAUGCGCCAUGUCCAGCUAGUUUUGUAUUUUUAGUGGAGACAGGGUUUAACCAUGUUGUCCAGGCUGGUCUUGAACUCCUGACCUCAAGUGAUCCUCCUGCCUCAGCCUCCCAAAGUGGUGGGAUUACAGGCAUGUACUACCACAGUGGGCUGGGAGAAUAUUUUAGAUGGAAGUGUUGUUUUUGGGAAGACUACAAAUGCAAUGUGACUAGAUUUUAUGAAU
rnacentral:lncRNA from 1 species